UGCAGCAGACUAGCGUGAUCAUGUGAUACCAUCGGGAGCUCUGUCGCGGAAUUCCGAAACACCAUGCACAUUGAAGAGUUACCAUAGCACGAAGGAAACAAGUGAGGUAGUCAGUGUCGAGCUCCCGAAACUGCGAAUCUGACUCACACGCCCGAAAACUGGAAAGAACUCGUAGUCAGAUGGGGUGUGUUUGAGCCAGCUGAAAAAAUCAACACGAAGACGAAAACUAUGCGGACGAAACGCGGGGCAUGAAGGGACUACAUGCAGUUUUUGGAGUUACUGCGGCAUUUGUAAAAUAGACGUACACUGUUUUGCACGGAAUUUUAAGCGUUUUUAAACUCCAUUCAACAAAUGACUGUGUGUGAAACAGCGCUGUAGAGUCUAAAAAAGAAAAAGAAAACGUCGCAGCAGCAGCAGCAGCAUCGGAGAGGGAGAGGCUGCGUUAGGAGUCAGGAGCGACGCCCGAGUUAAUUUGUGUUUACUGAUUUUAGUUGGCUACCGCAUUGCUACAGUGCGUUCGCUAUUUAUUUCUUGUUGUCUUGAUUGUUUUGGGUCUUCUGUUUGAAUAUGGUGGGGGAAAUGGAAACGAAGGAAAAGCCGAAGCCCACCCCUGACUAUCUCAUGCAACUUAUGAACGACAAGAAGCUGAUGAGUAGUUUGCCCAACUUCUGCGGAAUUUUCAACCAUCUAGAGAGACUUCUAGAUGAAGAGAUCGGACGGGUACGGAAGGACAUGUACAACGACACGCUCAACGGCAGCACAGAGAGACGCUCGUCCGAGCUCCCCGAGGCUGUGGGACCCAUCGCCCAACUGCAGGAGAAACUCUAUGUGCCUGUCAAGGAGUAUCCCGACUUUAACUUUGUUGGGAGAAUCCUGGGUCCCAGAGGCUUAACGGCCAAGCAGCUGGAGGCGGAGACUGGCUGCAAGAUUAUGGUGCGUGGGAAGGGCUCCAUGAGGGACAAGAAGAAGGAGGAGCAGAACCGUGGUAAGCCCAACUGGGAGCACCUGAAUGAGGACUUGCACGUUCUCAUCACCGUGGAGGACUCUCAGAACCGGGCGGAGAUCAAGCUCAAGCGUGCCGUGGAGGAGGUCAAGAAGCUCCUAGUGCCAGCGGCUGAGGGCGAGGACAGUCUGAAGAAGAUGCAGCUGAUGGAGCUGGCCAUCUUAAAUGGCACUUACAGGGAUGCCAACGUCAAGUCGCCAGCCCUGGCCUUCUCUCUGGCGGCGUCAGCCCAGGCUCCGCGCAUCAUCACCGGCCCCUCCCCCGUCAUGCCCACCGCUACCCUGCGGGCACCACAGCCCACCGCGCCCACCCUCAUGCCCCUCAUCAGGCAGAUCCAGACCUCCGCCCUGAUGCCCGCGGGCACCCCGCACCCCGGCAUCAUGCAGCAGUCGCCCGAGUCUGGCAUCAUCUACGCCCCCUACGACUACCCCUACACACUGGCGCCUUCCAUUCUCGAGUACCCCAUUGACUCCACCGGAGUGCUAGGUAUGGCUUUCCCAACGAAGGGCUAGUAGCGCUCUCCGAUGAACUAGCACCGAGCACGCCUCUGCCUGAGUGUUAAUGCGUGUUUUGUUUUACAGCUGCCUGGAUAUGAACAAACGAACGAACAAACGAAUAAAUGAACAAACGAACAAACAAACAAGCGAAAACUAAACAAACAAACGUGUGAAAGCGAAGACAGACGUAGCAUUAUGUCAGUCGGUUAUAGUCAGUCAGUCAGACCAGACUGACUGGCAGGCAGACAGACAGACAGACAGAUAAGAAGCUAAUAACUACUGAUGUUUACACUGGCCGUAACUAUGGAGAUUACUUUUAAUUCAUCUCUUUAUUGUCUAAUGACUCAUGGAUUAAAAAAUAAUGACAAACAAGCAAACGAAAUGAUAUCUUUUAAACUAUGUCUAAACUAUUUUUGAUCGAACUGAUGUAUUGACGCUCUCAUAAAGCCUUAAAGUAGUCAGUAGAGCUGAAUGUGUACAGUUUGAAACACUGCAGUCUGGUCUGAGGGGAUGUCUGUUUAGGGAUCUCUAAAACUGGAAACGAUCGAGUCUCUGACUCCUUAUAGGUAGGUGACAUAUAAAAGAGUGCCUCAGAAUCGAAAUGCUAUUAAAAAGUAAAUGGGAUUAAUUUUUAUGCUUCUUGGUAGACUUUGACUUUUGGUUAUAAAAAGAAAGUCUUCAUUCACAUACUGUAGUGCUCCAUGAAAAUAUUCUACUUAAAACUGGAAAACUAAAACUUAAAAAUCUAUGACUAUUUUGAACUUUGAAGCACCAAUAAGUGUGCUGUGUAAUGUAAUGACUGGUGUAAAUUCGGUGUGGAUUUGACCAGACAUAUGACUAAAUGUCCUCUAUUACUAUGGGCUUAUGACAGCCUUUUGUAGGUGGAAGGCCUGGAAAUGCUAUUGUCUGUUUUGAACCAGGGAACACUACUUCAGUUCGCAACAUGUUUAUAUUUAAACACAAAUGUUUGUGUGGGAGAUCCACAAACACACACAUCCCCAGACUUGUACUACAGUGUUAAAUCCAAUCCAAGAGUCUCUAAUGAAAUGCGUGAUUGGUUUUUCUCGUGCCUUACCUGUGCUUUUGUUUUUUUUGUUCAUGUUUUCUUUGGUUGUUGUUUUACAAGUUUUUCUUACAUGCUUGAUGGAUGGAUAGAUUUCUACUACAUGUGUGUUUUUUUGACUUGUGUGUGAAUUGCAACGACUGUAGGCUCGCCUUCUACUAUCUGACCAAUACUGACCGUGUGUGUGUGUGUGUGUGUGUAUAUGUGUAUGUGUGUGUGUGUGUGUGUGUGUGUGUGUGUGUGUGUGUUUUCUUGCCGUGUGUGUUUCUGAAAUGAUCUUCUGCCUAAUCUCAUUCCCUCUUUUGUUUUGUUGGGUAAUCCCGUUACCACGCGAACAGGGGCGGUGACUACUAAAGUUCGAAGGCACGAUAUGCGUGUCCAUCCCUACCAAAGGGUUGUGACUGCCGAUCGAGCCGCCACCGGCAACUAACCUUUGACCUUCUGACCUCUGAACUCUUCACCCAAUGAUGACCUGACCAUUGCCUGCCUGCUGACCAGUUCUCUGACCUUGGCUCGUCCUUCGCUUGUCUGUCUUGCGGUUGGCUCUGGUUCGGUGUUCUGGCGAGCCGGGACGCAGCUUUACCGCUUAACCCAACAGCGGCUCGGUGGUGAGGCCCAUCCACUCCUCAACAACAACCCAACCCCCCCUCCCCUCUCAAAGACUUAUCCUCCAUAACACACACACACACACACACACACACACACACACACAUAUACACACACACACACACACACACACACACACAGAAUACGGUAUACAACCUCCACUGGCCUUCUUGGGCUAGGUGAGGUAGACUGGGAUGAGGGAUGGGGCUCCAAACCUGCACUGAGGCAUUGUAAAGCAAUAAUGAGGUCCGGUCCACUUCCACUGAUAGACAUGACCCUACACCUCUCUGUCAGCUACGCUACACUACACACACACACACACACACACACACACACACACACACAGAGACACACAGACAGACAGACAGACACACACACACACACACUUGGUGUAAUGAGUAUGACUUUAUUUUACAUGUAGAUACAGACCUAUAUGAAUGCACACACACACACACACACACACACACACACAUACCCAGAGGAUCAGAUUUUAUCCUGUUUUUGGUGUGUUUUUCAUGGUCUACAAAGUGUUUUGAAGGAAAAAAACAGUUGCCUUUCUGUAAGCAUUAGAUUUCACAUACACAGAGCGGGAUGUCAGGUGGGCUUUGGGUGGGACCAGUUUGAAGAGGUUAUGUGUGAGUGUGUGUAUGUGUGUGUGUGUGUGUGUGUGUGUGUGUGUGUGAGUGAACGAGAGAGACAGAUGAGAACAUGUGUAUGUGAGUCAGUUGGGUCCCUGAUAGGUCAGAAAUGACACAUGAACAUGUCCAGGUUGCUUCCUUUUUUCUAUGGUAACAACUUCAAACUAUGGGAUGUAUAAGCCAUGUUUGCCUCCAACUCGCUUCCAACCCAUGUCAUACGCACACAUCAUGAAACCUGAGAAUGAAAUGAAAUAACACUCAGCCCGAAGAUCAACACUUUUGAUACAAAGGUGCUUCAGGACCGAAAGGAGAGUAUAUUUUUCUCAAUGCAAUCCUUUUGUAUCAAACUUCAGUAUUGUCGCAUUCUUCGAUGAACAAAGAUAGAAACCUUUCUUUGUUUGCAUUGACGAGGACAUUUUUUAAGAGACCAAAACAGCCUUUUGAUUGUUUUUGUUUUUCUUUUUUAAAUCAAACAUUUAUUUUUGUCAGUGACAAAAAAAAAGAAAAAACCUAAAGAAGUGCCUUAUUUUACACACGAUUGUGGAUUUUGAAUGUCCCAAGGGAUGUGCUUCUAUUCACAUAUCAGGUUAAUCUUCUAACUAAUUAAUUCAAGUAAUAGACAAAAACACAUAAUACUGGUGUGUGCGAUUUUUUAAAUUGUGCUACUGAUGUAGUGAAAAAUGUUUUGGUAAACACUAUCUGAAGCAAUGACAGGAGGGACUAAACUAUUCCCAGCAUCUCACUUUUAUUUUGAAGCCAUCUGUUUUGCAUUUGAAGCCAAACCUUACCCAUCAUUUGCCAAAUGUUUGUAGACUGCAUCAUUUCAGGUGCUCCAAGUAGUGUUCUGGGAAGCACCAAAAAAACAGUAGCCUUACAAAAAUUUACACAUUUUAUUUUUUCUUUUAAUUAUUGUAGCUUCUUUUGUUUGUAGCCUACUCCAGCUAGUCCAUGUACAGACUUGGCACAGCUCUGACUAGAGAUCCCUCUCAUGUAAAGUUUAUACGUCCUCCCUCGCUCCUCGGGCCUCGAUCCUCACUGAUCUACAGUACAUACAGAAUGAUGGGGCGCCAACAACGAGUCUAUCCCUUCGUCUAUCUUUCUUUAUGUAGAUCAGUGAGGAUCGAGGCCCGAGGAGCGAGGGAGGACGUAUACACUUUACAUGAGAGGCACCCCAAGAUACUGGGGUUGAAGGUAUAGCAACUCACACCACAUGCAAUCAUCCUGUGGUAACAUUUUUGACUCUUUGAGCCUUAUGAACUGUUACGUAAACAAUUCGGUUUCUCAAAUAGUUCAUCUCAACGGAACAUAAUUUUUAGAUAUUUGGGAAAAUAACAGUUUGAUUCAGAGUUACUGUUAAUACAUAAUGAACUGAAAGGAAGCGCAAAAAACAUACUGUUUUUGCCGUAACUCUAAAAAAGUCGAAUUCCAAUGUCUUCUUAUCCUCUGAUUUUUUUUAAUGAUCUAUGCAACCUCACAUUUCUGUUGCAGUAUUCUAAACAUCCUUUAUCAUGCUCCACGUUGGGUUCUGAAGUUGACUUUCAGAAUAUAAUAGUCAUAUAGUAUAUGAAAUAAAAACAAAUAAAGCUCAAAGAAAGGUAGCCAGGCCAAUCAGCUUUCCAAAGCAGAUGGGGGUUUAGACAACACUGUGAUGUUAGAUUUGAUCAUUGAGUCACAGCAAUUCACUAAAAGAAGAAAUAUCUUGGAAACAUAAGUCCAGUGAGGGAAAUAACUAUGCUAAAAAAAUACAAUACAGUACAAAAAAGGAACAGUAGUUAAAAAGAGUUGUAAAAAAUGCAUUGUUGAUUUUCCACUGACACUGUCAUCAGGAAGGUGGAUACAAUCAGGAAGUUCAAGCUCUAGGCUAGGAACAGACAGUUUAAAAAAAAAAAAAAAAGUCUUGAGCUACAGAACUGCCUGGUUUUGUGUCUCACUACAUGGUCAUGUGAAUGGUUUCGUAUCUAUUUCUGUUUUGUCAUUUUACACAGUGCCAUAAGGAAUAGUUUUGAAGGGGAUGUGAUGAUGCUGAUAUGUUGUUUUGUUACAUGUGUGGGGAAAGACUAGAAGCAGUUUAAAUGCAAUAUAUAUAUACAUAUAUAUAUAUAUAUAUAACAUUGCAGUUGAUGUGUUGAUGCCAGUGAAGGUCUCAGUGUAGGGUCAUGUUUUUAGUUUCAUGGCGUCGCAUCAGGAACUGAAGUUUGUUUUACUUAUUUAGUUGUGUUACAUUAUGUUUUGUAAGAUUUUUUGUUGAAGCCCUUUACGUCAACAGUAUUAUCAUAGUCAGUUAUCUUGCUGUGUUUUGUGUGAGUGUGUGUGUGUGUGUGUGAGAGAGAGAGAGAGAGAGAGAGAGAAAAUGUUUUUUUCUUCCAUUUUGUUUCUACAUUCAACAUUUCAACCCCAGAUAGACACUGUUUUUUUAUGGUGCCCAAGUACUUGCCUACGUGAGGAGUGAACAUCCUCUGAUAUUUAUAACCCUUGUAACAAAUUUAUAAUGUAUUUUUCUAUCAUAUUUUGUAUGUGAGAAAUAACAUUAAAUUACAUUUCCAGAUUUGAA